GAGCACUUCCAAGUGCUACCGAAAAACACAGAAAGAACCAAAAAAAAGGGUGCGUGUACUUAUGUACGUGCGUAAGAAGUUAUACUUUACUUUUAUUAAAUUUAUUUCUUUUUAAUAUUAAAUAAUUAAUAAUAAAUAUUUAACAUUAAUAAUUUAAUAAUAUUUAGUAUGAAUUAUAUUAAAUAAUAAUUUUGUCAUUUAUAUUACUAAAAAAUGAAUGCUAAUAACACUUUUUUUACGAGUGUACAUGCGGGAAAGUUUACCUGCGGCUAUAUUCAGACUCGCCAAGUUACGUCGGUCGUAUUGUAAUGAGCGAUUUAGUGGGCAACUUCAUUCUGUUAAUUUUGUGUCACGGUGCGCGCGCAUCGUAAAUUUUCACUCUCAUCAAUUUUUUAUAACGCGCCUAAAGAAGUAUAACUUCAACAAUAACGUCUUAUUUAAAUACUUUCGUUUAAAAAAGGGUCACAAGUUUUUCACCAUAUAAAAUUCCUAAGCACACCCAAAAACGUGGGAAUUCAAUUUUUUUGUUAAUUCAAAUAAUAUAAAGUGAAUUACUCUAUCAAGAACACAAUAAAUAAUUUCCUAAACGAAAAUAUGCUUAUAAAGUUAUAAGUUAGAUGUACGAUUUGUCGUAAUCAAAGCAUUUUCUUUAAACGACUUGUGAGAUAAGAGUAUCUAGCGGUACGUAUAUUUUUUUUGUGUAAAACAAGUGAAUACCUAUGCGUAUCUUACACAACAAACGACCUUUGAUUUAGAUAACCGAUAAAUAUAAAUCGGUAUUAUUCAUAUUAAUAAGACGCAUAUUACAAGUCACUAGUGAGUCGCGAUUUUAGGCGAAGAGAUGUAUUUUUCGGACGCGGAUCUCUACGCGGCUAGCUAGGCGGCGUAAUAGAAGAACCCAGAAGAAGAAAGAUCCCAAGAAGCCACGUCCAGUGACUUUGUUUUAUUUUCCCAGACUAGUAAUCUUUCCCAGAUGCUAAACGCUUAAUUAGGCACCAUUAAUGAAAAAACAAGAAGACUAACCUAGUGGCGCAGUAUUAAAUUUCCCAAUUGCAGGGCCACGGGUUAGGGGUUCGUUUCCCAUUUCGAGUAAACAUUUGGGUUACGAAUAGGGCAGUUUGCUCUUUGUCCGGGUUUUUUAAUCUCAGGUACAACAUGCAUUUUCGCUAUGCCGUACCGUAGGAUUCGUCUAACGGCCGUUUUCAAUAACCUAUCUAUCCCUAGUUUCGGUUACUAAAGAUAGACAAAUCUAUAUUUUUGUCCUUACUUACGUUCCAAUAACCUAUCGACGGGCAGCAGUUCCUAUCGGAUUUAUCUAUCCAUCGUCGGGAGGACGGAUAGCCUGCUAAAGAUAGAACGCUCAUACAAAUCGUGCUUACUUCCGUUUCAAUAUGAGUUUUAAGUAACUCUCCGGUAGGCGGCGCUAUCUCUAGUAUGGGCAUUCGCUUAUCUGUCAAAAUCGGCCGGUUACAUGUUUAUCUUUCGAAAGUAAAUCGCUAUAAUUUAAUAAUUGUUUCUCUUCAUAUUGGCAUAUUGUAGCAGUGAUGAUAGUGAUAUGGAAUUAUUUCAAAUGAUAAUGGAUUGUGAUGCAGAUAGUGAUAGUGAGGCCGAUAUCAUAUGGUUAGGAAAAUAAAGAUCGUCUGAAUUACAUGGCGAAGAUCAAUAAUUACGAAUUUGACUAUAGAUUUCUGAGCAAAGGUGUUGUGAAUGAAUUGAUUAAUUUAAUGAGACCAUAUUUGAGUGUAACGUCAAAAAGAUUCAAAUAUAGGAGAGGAAUUUAGAAAUAGAAAAAGAGUAUUUUGAAUGUGUAAUUUGUGUGCAAUGCAUCAUUGAUGUUUCAAAAUGUUGUUGCUUGAUGGCCUGGGUCUACUCAUGAUACAAUUAUAAUUAACCAUUCCGAUUGAAAAGAUGCAUUGGUGUUUGUAAAAGAAGACUCCCUGUAUAUCAUUGAAAAGUAGAUUAAAACUAGAAAAUAUGCAAGCUGUUAUUAUAGCUGCCAUGCUGCAUAAUAUCGUCAGAAGUAUGAAUUUAGAAGAAUUAGAAUCAGAAAUUUCACUCGCAGAUACAUUACAGGAAAAUAAUAUAAUUGUUCGUAACAAUUUUUCAAAACUUACAUCUGAAAUACAACUAUGUACUUAUAAAUAAUUGCUUCCAAAGAUAAUUUAUAAAAUAAACUCCAAAGAUAA